CUUUCUUACAUGUAUAUCUGACUAUUGUUUUGGUGAUUCUAAUUUGGAAGUAUUGUGUCCAGGUCUUGGAUCUUGGUAUAUUCCCCAGACCAGAAUUUUAUCUACCUACUAGCAUGAACAUCAUUGUACUGUAAGUUCUCAGGUUUCCUUUCUUUGAUUUUCAGAGUCGUCUCUUUUGAGUCCAGAAAUAGAUAGAAACUGUUUUUAUAACUGGUUGAUAGCUAUAAACUGGUCAAAGAUCAAUAUAUGUGUACUUCAUAAACAAUUAAUCUUCAAUAGUUAAUUGAUUAUCGAGUGCUGAUAAUCUAUAUUCAUAUCAAAUAUCUUUGUUAAUCUCAUUGAAUUUUCUAUGCAUAUUGGGGCAUAAAAUAUCUGAAAUGUUUAACUAUUUGGAGGACCUUAACUAGUAACACGAUGUCAUCAAUCAGAAGGGUUACAAGGAGAAUUCCUCUUGGCCUGAAGUAUGCUGAGGCGAUCAAAUUUAACUUGUUACACUUCAAAUUUGACUUUCAAAGAUUUCUACAUGUAUUUAUUUGCCCAAUCUGAAAUCAUUUUAUGGUGACGUAACACAGAUUUCAUGGGCCAAGUUCUCUCCAAGCGAAUCUAAGCAUAGUGCUUUAUAUUGUGCCUUCAAGGAAUGUCUCAAGCUAUGCAUGAAAACUCGUGUCUAGAAUUAAAAAGGGACAGCCUUUCAAAUUACAUGCCAUUUAUUCAUUUAAAUCUAUAGACACAUAAACCUUAUCGGAGCCCAUUUCAGGUGAACGUGAACUUCAGAACUUAAAGAUAUGUUUGGCUAAGCUUAAAAUGUUUACUUAUAAAAUGAAUAAGCAAGUCUCACAAUAAAUAAUAUUUUUUACUGGUAAUAGUUGGAAGUAGUUACUUAUUUUACAGUAAGUUAAUAAUUACUUUCAGAUUAAGCAACUUUUUUACUUUGAGAGUUAAGAGUAAGAAAAAUAGGUUACAUCUUUAAGCCUGUUUGGAAACUAAAAGCUACUUAAAAGUACUUAUCUAAGCUUAGCCAAACAUGCUCUUUCAUUUACUGUGGUUAUGACUUUCUGGUUGCAUUUGUAGGUGAGGCUCGAGCUGGUGGACCAAGCAACAAAGGAGACCAGAUUCCCACAAAUUAUGUGCAAUCUCCAAGCACAGCAUAGGUAUCUGACAUGGAGACAGAAAAGAGAGGUAACAUUGUGCUUUCUCACAUAUGUCAAGUUAUUGUAUUUAUUUCCCCCAUCUUUGUGUACUGUAGUCGUGAAUCUUGUUUGCUAAUGGAUAUGUUAGAUUUAUCUUCUUAAUUCAUGAUGAACUUAUUACGAGUCAUUAGUGAAUAAAAAGCAACUGCAAUCCGCACUAGUUACACGGUGGCGGUUAAAGUGCCGUGUAAACAUUCUCAGAUCACGGGGAAAUGGUUCAAUUAACACUUUGGUGCACUUUAUUUUAUUAUUAUCAUUGUUGUUGUUGUUAUUAUUAUUAUUUUAUUUUUUUUGUGUAGAAAACAAAUGCUGCAUAUUCAUUAGUCUAUGAUGGUUAUAGCUGUAUAUACGAGUUUAUGUGUCUGUGACAUCCAGAGGUCCAAUUUGCAAUGUUCAUCUUAUCUGAAGUUUAUGAUGUAAUUUGAUUAGGUUCAUUAAAAAGACAAUUCAUGAAACAAAAAUUUAACAGAAGGCUGAUGGAAAACUCUGAAUAUCAGGAUCCAGGUUAUCAAGUUUUGACAAGACUAAUUAGGAGGACUCCUGCUUAGGUAUCUGUUUAGGGUUAUCGAGCAUCAUAUUUUAUAUUUCUUUAUGUAGUUGUUUCACAUUAUCAUUAUUUGGUAGGAACCAAUUAGAAACUUCCUCUUCAAUGGAGUUGACGAGCUUGGAACUUGGAAGCAAAACAUUUCUCAACUACUUUCCUGAGUAUAAGUGUGGGGAUGGGACUAUAAAUUGAAGGGCAGCAUGGUUGGAAAAUCAUUUGAAAGUUGACCCUGGGAUGGUAGAGGAGAAUUUUUUGGUGAUAAUUAAUUAAUCAUGGAUAGACGGCCUGCAUUUCAAAUCAUCUUCCUUCUUGCUGUCACCAUUAUUAUCCUCUUUUACCUGAUAUCUGAUAUGUAGAUUGCCUUGUCUGCAACAAACUCCUUCCAUCGUAUAAAUCUUGGUCUUCCAUUACAUGAAAGCAAUGCAGAAAUCUUGUGGAAGUUAGUUUGAGAGUAAGCUUAUGUGAUAUCUCAUAAGCUAUUCGAGUUCAGUUCCUCAUCCAUCCAACUAUGACAGUGCUAAAAGUUUUGUAAGUCUUGCAAGAACAUGGACCCCUCCAUUUUUAUUUCGCGAUUGAUUGAAGUUGUUGCUGGGUAGAGCUUCCUAUUUGUUAAAGAAUAAAGAUAUAGAAAGAUUAUCGUGAAUAGUCUGAAAAUUUUUCCUCAUACGUUGAUGUACAUUCUUAAUAGUUUGGUUCUCUUUUAGUUAUUUGUAAUUCCAUAAAUUCUCAGCGCUUAUCUGUUUGAACACAUAAAUUAUUAUGUGUUCAUAGUUUUAACCAUAUUGACCUAGCUGAAAAAUCCUGGUUUGACUUUUAGACUCUUCGAAUAAAUGUCAUUUCGGAUUUUAAAAUAUUUGAUACAUGUAGAAAGGCCGGUGGCCUACAAGGAACGUAAGAUUGCACAAAUGACAUUAUUCUGAGGUAGGUUCAAU
rnacentral:lncRNA from 1 species